rnacentral:rRNA from 1 species
AUUGAACGCUGGCGGCAUGCCUUACACAUGCAAGUCGAACGGCAGCACGGGAGCAAUCCUGGUGGCGAGUGGCGAACGGGUGAGUAAUAUAUCGGAACGUGCCCAGUCGUGGGGGAUAACGUAGCGAAAGCUACGCUAAUACCGCAUACGAUCUAUGGAUGAAAGCGGGGGAUCGCAAGACCUCGCGCGAUUGGAGCGGCCGAUAUCAGAUUAGGUAGUUGGUGAGGUAAAGGCUCACCAAGCCGACGAUCUGUAGCUGGUCUGAGAGGACGACCAGCCACACUGGGACUGUGACACGGCCCAGACUCCUACGGGAGGCAGCAGUGGGAAUUUUGGACAAUGGGCGCAAGCCUGAUCCAGCAAUGCCGCGUGCAGGAUGAAGGCCUUCGGGUUGUAAACUGCUUUGUACGGAACGAAACGGUGAGCUCUAAUACAGUUUGCUAAUGACGGUACCGUAAGAAUAAGCACCGGCUAACUACGUG